CACAGACAGGAGGACAAACCCCAGAAUGAGGAGAGCCUUCAUGUUGACUGGAAAGCCAAAUCACUGGGCUGCCUAGGCUGCUUCAGGAUGAGAGGGGCAGUGGCCCUGUGCAGCCAGAAAUCAAAAUUCUCGCUCUGAUCUAAAGAAAACAAAAUAAGAUGAGACGAAGCUGGAAUCCAACUCCAGAAGGAAAUGCAAGCACCACAUAACCGGUUCAGCAAUGUUUAUUUUGCAAACCACUUUUAGAAGGAGCCACCCGAUAAGAACAGCACAACAAGACCAGCAGUGCUGGGGAUAACACCGAGGCCUUGUGCAUGCCACACUAGUUCUGCGUCACUGAGCUGCACACCAAGAUCCUUACACUCUUUUCAGAAGUUUUAGCAGAUACGAAAGACCACAGCCCCCAGCAAAACAUGCCAUCCUCCAGGUGGCUAAAACCAGAUACAGGCGGUGGUGUCUCUGGGUGGAUAGAACACAGAACCGGAUGUUACAGAAAAGAGAUAAGACUACAAAGUACAGCACAACAUCUUCGUGGUGCCAAGUUACCAGAUAACAUCCAUACAUCUGCUUUGACCGCUGCAUGGACCUGGACCCCAAAUGUUUGCUCUGAUACCUGCACCUGACAGACCUCUGCCCAAUCCCCUAGGAAACGC